rnacentral:sRNA from 1 species
AAUGAAAAGCAACUAUACUCGGUUGGAGAAGAUGUUGAAAUUUCAUGCCUUACUGGCUUUGAAACUGUUGGAUACCAGUACUUCAGAUGCUUACCAGACGGGACCUGGAGACAAGGGGAUGUGGAAUGCCAACGGAGGGAGUGCAUCAAGCCAGUUGUGCAGGAAGUCCUGACAAUUACACCAUUUCAGAGAUUGUAUAGAAUUGGUGAAUCCAUUGAGCUAACUUGCCCCAAAGGCUUUGUUGUUGCUGGGCCAUCAAGGUACACAUGCCAGGGGAAUUCCUGGACACCACCCAUUUCAAACUCUCUCACCUGUGAAAAAGACCUGGACACCUCCCUUAGCCCUUCAGAGGAUCCUCUUGCCCUGAGCACUUUACAGACUGUGGAGUAUUUGUUGCUCCUGUGCUGGGAGGUGUGGGCAGCUGAGUCCCAGCACUGCUUCAACCUGAGGCUGAUUGGAAGAGCAGAUUCCUUGCAUAAGAUCAUUGACAAUUUCAAACCUGUAGUGAUAUAGAGCAAGGCUGUGUGCCACUUGAAAGCUGAAUUGAUUCUUUUUGGAAACAAUGUAUACCUUGCUGCUCCUCCCAGGCCUAAUUACAAAGGGCAAAGAGGCAUA